rnacentral:tRNA from 1 species
GCGGGCGUGGCGAAACUGGUAGACGCACGGGACUUAAAAUCCCGAGGCCCUAGGCCGUGUCGGUUCGAGCCCGACCGCCCGCACCA